GGCAGGCACUCAGAGUUGAAGCUGCAAAUGAAAACCGGAAGCAAGCUGGGCUUUCCACUGCAGAGAGAAAUGUCUCCACAUGCCUGGGAAAAUGACUUCUGCCGCACUGGAAUAUGUCUAUAAAGGGAAGUUUUCCCUCAUCAACCAUUUGGUUUACCUGGUCACUUUCAUGGAGGAAAGCUUUGACCACCGGGAGGGCUUUUGGCUGACACCUAUGCCCCUGUGACAUAUUCCCAUAAGUAUAGUAUUUUUUGUACACUCAGUUUUGUGCUUUGUACUGACUUUGGCACAAGCUCCUCCUGGCAGCUCUGAGCCCAGGUUGGCACGGAUAGUGGGUGUGCCUUGUGAGGCUCAGUGCUGCGCCAG